AAAGUGUUUGAGGACCUACGUCGACCUGUUUGGGCCUACAACUACGUCCAUUCACUGAGCGGAUUCCGGAUUACCCAUUGAGGACUUGAAAAGAUAGGAGAGAACAAGGCCAGUUUCUUCGGUAAAUUUAUCCAGUCAGGUUCCCAUCUGAAGUCCAUCCAGAUGAUCCUUAAUAAGACAGCAGACGGUACAGGCAUCGACUCCAACACCCUGGCCUUACAGAUGAAGGGCCAUCCUGAGCUGAGGGACUAGCUUCAUGUCGUCACCUCUUGGGGGCCUUUGUCUGUCUACCCUGGGGUGGUCAACUCAGAAUUACCUGAGGAUCUCAAGACAUCUAUCACCAGGCAUCUUCUCAACAUGCAUCUCGACCCCAAAUGGCAAGCUCAACUGAACCAACACAUGGUGUCCAAAUUUGUGCCAGUUACACUGGAUCAGUACAAAGGAUUGUUAAAAUAAACAAACAAAUGUUCCAAUAAACCAAAAAGGGAAAACGACUAUUAGUGCAUUAUGAAAUAUAUUGCAUUAUUAUAAUAUAACAAUUGUAUUAAAAUAAAGAGACAGUGUUAUAUUUAAAAAAAAAAAUAAUUAAUUCAUUGUUGAAAUCGGUACUCAUAAAUUGGAACUUGUCAUGAUGCAAUUUUGUGCUCUAAAUUAAUAAUGCAAUAUACAUAUUUUAUUAUGUAAACAUGUUUUUUAUAUAUUUUACUGAAACCACAGAGACUAGUUGUCAAUGUACAAGCUAUUGUCACAUCUUACUGUGUGCAAUGAAUUCGUUAGCAGGGCUCAAAUUUUGUGUGAAAAUUUUGUGGACAACAGUACCUGAAAGUAUUAUUAACUGGACCAAUGUACAUUCACAGAUAAAAUUGAAACACUGUUAACUCAAAGCCAUGUGCAUCAUUUGCAAUGACCUGGAGAAGCAUUGAUUUAAUGACAAAAACUCUGCUUAAAGUCAAGAUAGGAGUGGUACCAAAUACCCUUGGAAAAUAUUCUAGCUGAAAUUGUUUCGUGUGGAUGAAAACUGAGGUGGUGUUGAAAGAGGGUGUCUACGGCACAUUAUGCAUUAGCAAUGGAAUCCAGUUACAAGACCCCCAAAAAAGUGAAUGUAUUUCCUCGGUUUUCUUAAAACGUAUACUAUCCAAUCAGCCUUCAACAGGUUAGUUGUCAUGCACCCUGCUUCAGACUUUUAGCAAUUUUGUUGCUUCAAACGAAAGUAAAGGCACAAGAAGCAAAUAAUCAUAUGUAUCUUGUAAGAAAGUUGCAGUCAUUAGGAUUAUACAAGAAGUGUAUUUCAUUGCUUCUGGUGGUAAACGGGAAACAUCAAAUGUAAACAUUUUUAAAAGUUGGUCAAAUGACUCUUGCAUGUGUAGGAUUAGUCAUGAUCAUGAUAAUCUGAGACCAGAUUUAGACAGCACAUGCAAUCAUGAAAGGCAUGUAUUCAUCUGAGUGCAAUGUGUAAUUAUAAAACAUCAAGAUGAAUUUUUAUUCCCUUUGUUUUAAGUU
rnacentral:lncRNA from 1 species